GAUGAACGCUGGCGGCGUGCUUAACACAUGCCAGUCGAGCGAGAAGUUUUGAAAAGAUUCUUCGGAUGAAAUUUAAAAUGGAAAGCGGCGGACGGGUGAGUAACGCGUAGGCAACCUGCCCCAUACAAAGGGAUAGCAUUUGGAAACGAAUAUUAAUACCUUAUGAAACUUAACUAGUGCAUGCUAGGUAGGUCAAAGCUUUAUCGGUAUGGGAUGGGCCUGCGUCUGAUUAGCUAGUUGGUGAGGUAACGGCUCACCAAGGCGACGAUCAGUAGCCGACCUGGGAGGGUGAACGGCCACAUUGGAACUGAGACACGGGCCAAACUCCUUCGGGAGGCAGCAGUGGGGAAUAUUGCACAAUGGGGGAAACCCUGAUGCAGCAACGCCGCGUGAACGAUGAAGGCCUUUGGGUCGUAAAGUUCUGUUCUAGGUGAUGAAAACUGACAGUAACCUAGGAGAAAGCCCCGGCUAACUCCGUG
rnacentral:rRNA from 1 species